CCAAAACAUUAGAUCAUUUUGUAUGAAAACAUUUGUACAUUAGAUGAUUUAUGCCGGUACUUGUUUAGAGUAUGGUCAAAUUUUAUAGCUAUAUACUAGUUUUCAGAAUUUAAUUGAAAAGGUUCCAAAUUAUUAUCGUGGCGGUGGUUAAUUUUUGUGUCGCACCGUCACAAAAAAAAUUAUUUUUCUGGCGGUAAAUUGUGAAACCACAUCAGAAAUAAGUCUCAAUAGAUGAAAAAAUUGAGCAAUUCUUCUUGGCGCCUUUACAAAGUAGCGAGCGUGCCAUUUCUCAAGUCAGACCGACACAAGGAAAAAAGGAAAAAGAAAACGGAAAAUCUAUUUACACGCCGUCCGGCAAGCAACUGCUCUUAUGCGCGUACGCUCUCCGCAACGUCCGGUCCCAAUCGAAGCGCUUUUCCUCGAGUCUCCUUCCCCGCAUCUUUUUUCUCCCACUUUUCUUCCUCCCUCGCCGACCUCC
rnacentral:lncRNA from 1 species